rnacentral:rRNA from 1 species
UGCCAGACUCCUACGGGAGGCAGCAGUGAGGAAUAUUGGUCAAUGGGCGGAAGCCUGAACCAGCCAAGUCGCGUGAGGGAAGAAGGCCCUGCGGGUCGCAGACCUCUUUGGACGGGGAGCAAGGCCGCCGACGUGUCGGCGGAAGGAGAGUACCCGUAGAACAAGCAUCGGCUAACUCCGUGCCAGCAGCCGCGGGAAUACGUAGGGGGCAAGCGGUAUCCGGAUUUACUGGGUGUAAAGGGAGCGUAGACGGCGAUGCAAGUCUGAAGUGAAAGGCGGGGGCCCAACCCCCGGACUGCUUUGGAAACUGUAUAGCUGGAGUGCAGGAGAGGUAAGUGGAAUUCCUAGUGUAGCGGUGAAAUGCGUAGAUAUUAGGAGGAACACCAGUGGCGAAGGCGGCUUACUGGACUGUAACUGACGUUGAGGCUCGAAAGCGUGGGGAGCAAACAGGAUUAGAUACCCCGGUACAG